rnacentral:rRNA from 1 species
AGAGUUUGAUCCUGGCUCAGAUUGAACGCUGGCGGCAGGCCUAACACAUGCAAGUCGAGCGUGAAAGUCCUUCGGGAUGAGUAAAGCGGCGGACGGGUGAGUAACGCGUAGGAAUCUACCUAAUAGUGGGGGAUAACGUUUCGAAAGGAACGCUAAUACCGCAUACGUUCUGAGGAAGAAAGCAGGGGAUCGCAAGACCUUGCGCUAUUAGAUGAGCCUGCGUCCGAUUAGCUAGUUGGUGAGGUAACGGCUCACCAAGGCGACGAUCAGUAGCUGGUCUGAGAGGAUGAUCAGCCACAUUGGGACUGAGACACGGCCCAAACUCCUACGGGAGGCAGCAGUGGGGAAUAUUGGACAAUGGGCGCAAGCCUGAUCCAGCCAUGCCGCGUGAGUGAUGAAGGCCCUAGGGUUGUAAAGCUCUUUUGUGCGGGAAGAUAAUGACGGUACCGCAAGAAUAAGCCCCGGCUAACUUCGUG